AGCCCUCCUGCACACCCAACUCAGCUGCCCCACCCUGACCCAGUUACUCACCUUAUAAAGCCCUGUUGUAGUCUGUAAGAGGGGCUGCCUCCUCUGCUUUUGUCAGGAGGUAGCCCGGCAGGACUGACAAUAAAUCAGCUUGCCUGAACUUGGGUCUGCUGGCCUCACUCCUUUCUCGGCUGUCCUUCCAAUUAUACCUUAUGUCUUGGUGCCGAAACCGGGAAGGUGGUAGAGUUCGGCCUCCUUUUCUCCCUUUAUCCUCCCCCUGCUCCUUCCCCUGGCCGAACUCCCCCUUCCAGAACCUGCUAGAGACCCAAGGAUCUCAUACAUCUUUUCCAUUGCUGGCGAACACAUCCAACACCAGGGACACCUCAGGAGAAAGAAAAACAAAACAAAACAAAGUGUGGCUUGCAGCUCAGUCGCAUGCCAACGAUCUUCAUCGGCAAGACCCUACUAAGCCCCUAGGGGCCGCUGCAGUUCCCCGAGAAGACCUUCCUGGGAGUACCAACCCACAUAACCUGGCCAGGCAUCUCAUAACCAUGUGAUUACUUGCCUCAUCACAGGCCUUAACAAAGCAGCCCAUAAGGCCAUAAUUUUUGAAAAGCUGAAAGAAAUCUCCCAAAGAGCAAAUGAAAACCCUGCUGAAUUUCUUUCCCGCCUUACAGAGGCCCUCCAAAAAUAUACCCUUGUUGACCCCACCUCCCGGGAAGGAACCAUUGUUCUGUUUUUUUUUUAAGAUGGAGUCUCGCUCUGUCGCCCAGACUGGAGUGCAGUGACGCGAUCUCGGUUUACUGCAAGCUCCGCCUCCUGGAUUCAUGCCAUUCUCCUCUCUCAGCCUCCCGCCUAGCUGGGACUACAGGCACCUGCCGCCAUGGCCGGCUAAAUAUUUUUUGCGUUUUUAGUAGAGAGAGGGUUUCACUGUGUCAACCAGGAUGGUCUCGAUCUCCUGACCUCGUGAUCCGCCCGCCUCGGCCUCCCAAAGUGCUGGGAUUACAGGCGUGAGCCACCACUCCUGGCCCUGGAACUAUUGUUCUUAAUAUCCAUUUCAUCUCUCAGUCUGCUCCUGACAUACAAAAGAUGGCCCUCAAACCCCUCAACAAGACCUCCUUAACCUGGCCUUUAAGGUCUUCAACAACAGAGAUAAGCAAAAUAAAUUAGAUAAAGCCCAACGAGAUGGUAAUAAAUACCAGCUCCUAGCAGCAGCUAUUUGUCAGCCUACCCAGGCUGCCCAGGGGCACAAAAGACCUGAUAGCAGUGACCCUCCCAGGCCCUGUUUUAAUGUGAAAAAGAAGGCCCUUGGGCCCAAGCAUGCCCUAACCCACAAGUGCCAAAAACUCCUUGCCCAGCCUGCCAACAAACCGGUCACUGGAAGUCCGAUUGUCCUCUUAAGCAGACUAACCGGCCGGUUCCUCAAGGCCCUGGCAAAGCAAAGAGUGAAAAAUCAUUCACACCCCCACAGCUCCUUGGCCUUGCCACUGAAGACUGAUGGAGCCCAGGGACCCUGGCCCCAUCUGCCGUCACUGCAUUGGAGCCCAGGGUAACUCUGCUAAUAGCAGGUAAGCCGAUCUCUUUUUUUAAUCAAUAGCUGGGCCACCUACACGGCUUUACCUGAAUUUUUAGGACCCACUUACCCUUCCCAGGCCUCUGUGGUGGGGGUUGAUGGACUUGUCUUCUGUCCACGUGCUACUGAAUCCCUUACUUGUUCCCUAUUUAAUACUAUUUUUUCACACUCCUUCCUUAUCAUGCCUCAUUGCCCCACCCCCAUCCUAGGCCGAGACAUUUUAGCCAAUUUUGCAGCUUUUAUCACCUUUUCCUGUCCCCCUCAACCAGAAGUCCCUCCUGCUUCUCUCUGCUAGUCCGGCAUCUGACCCCCUCUCCAGCACCCGCUACCCACCUCUCUCGUUAACCCAGUAGUG
rnacentral:lncRNA from 10 species